CCUACGGGAGGCAGCAGUGGGGAAUAUUGGACAAUGGGGGCAACCCUGAUCCAGCCAUGCCGCGUGUGUGAAGAAGGCCCUCGGGCUGUAAAGCACUUUCAGUGAGGAAGAACGCCUGGUGGUUAAUACCCAUCAGGAAAGACAUCACUCACAGAAGAAGCACCGGCUAACUCCGUGCCAGCAGCCGCGGUAAUACGGAGGGUGCGAGCGUUAAUCGGAAUUACUGGGCGUAAAGCGCGCGUAGGUGGCUUGAUAAGCCGGUUGUGAAAGCCCCGGGCUCAACCUGGGAACGGCAUCCGGAACUGUCAAGCUAGAGUGCAGGAGAGGAAGGUAGAAUUCCCGGUGUAGCGGUGAAAUGCGUAGAGAUCGGGAGGAAUACCAGUGGCGAAGGCGGCCUUCUGGACUGACACUGACACUGAGGUGCGAAAGCGUGGGUAGCAAACAGGAUUAGAUACCCUAGUAGUC
rnacentral:rRNA from 1 species